rnacentral:rRNA from 1 species
UACGUAGGGUGCAAGCGUUUAAUCGGAAUUACUGGGCGUAAAGCGUGCGCAGGCGGUUAUGUAAGACAGAUGUGAAAUGCCCGGGCUUAACCUGGGAACUGCAUUUGUGACUGCAUGGCUAGAGUUUGGCAGAGGGGGGUAGAAUUCCACGUGUAGCAGUGAAAUGCGUAGAUAUGUGGAGGAACACCGAUGGCGAAGGCAGCCCCCUGGGUCAAGACUGACGCUCAUGCACGAAAGCGUGGGGAGCAAACGAGGAU